rnacentral:rRNA from 1 species
CCCAUAUGCAGCCUACAGCCAUGCCGCGUGUAUGAAGAAGGCCUUCGGGUUGUAAAGUACUUUCAGCGGGGAAGGAAGGGAGUAAAGUUAAUACCUUUGCUCAUUGACGUUACCCGCAGAAGAAGCACCGGCUAACUCCGUGCCAGCAGCCGCGGUAAUACGGAGGGUGCAAGCGUUAAUCGGAAUUACUGGGCGUAAAGCGCACGCAGGCGGUUUGUUAAGUCAGAUGUGAAAUCCCCGGGCUCAACCUGGGAACUGCAUCUGAUACUGGCAAGCUUGAGUCUCGUAGAGGGGGGUAGAAUUCCAGGUGUAGCGGUGAAAUGCGUAGAGAUCUGGAGGAAUACCGGUGGCGAAGGCGGCCCCCUGGACGAAGACUGACGCUCAGGUGCGAAAGCGUGGGGAGCAAACAGGAUUAGAUACCCCCGGUAGAUUU